AUUGAACGCUAGCGGGAUGCUUUACACAUGCAAGUCGAACGGCAGCGCGGACUUCGGUCUGGCGGCGAGUGGCGAACGGGUGAGUAAUGUAUCGGAACGUGCCCAGUAGCGGGGGAUAACUACGCGAAAGCGUAGCUAAUACCGCAUACGCCCUACGGGGGAAAGCAGGGGAUCGUAAGACCUUGCACUAUUGGAGCGGCCGAUAUCGGAUUAGCUAGUUGGUGAGGUAACGGCUCACCAAGGCGACGAUCCGUAGCUGGUUUGAGAGGACGACCAGCCACACUGUGACUGAGACACGGCCCAGACUCCUACGGGAGGCAGCAGUGGGGAAUUUUGGACAAUGGGGGCAACCCUGAUCCAGCCAUCCCGCGUGUGAGAUGAAGGCCUUCGGGUUGUAAAGCACUUUUGGCAGGAAAGAAACGUCGCGGGCUAAUACCCCGUGGAACUGACGGUACCUGCAGAAUAAGCACCGGCUAACUACGUG
rnacentral:rRNA from 1 species